rnacentral:rRNA from 1 species
CCCCGGCGAGGGGAGUGAAAAAGAACCUGAAACCGUGUACGUACAAGCAGUGGGAGCACAGGUUUACCUGUGUGACUGCGUACCUUUUGUAUAAUGGGUCAGCGACUUAUAUUCUGUAGCAAGGUUAACCGUAUAGGGGAGCCGUAGGGAAACCGAGUCUUAACCGGGCGUUAAGUUGCAGGGUAUAGACCCGAAACCCGGUGAUCUAGCCAUGGGCAGGUUGAAGGUUGGGUAACACUAACUGGAGGACCGAACCGACUAAUGUUGAAAAAUUAGCGGAUGACCUGUGGCUGGGGGUGAAAGGCCAAUCAAACCGGGAGAUAGCUGGUUCUCCCCGAAAGCUAUUUAGGUAGCGCCUCGUGAAUUCAUCUCCGGGGGUAGAGCACUGUUUCGGCUAGGGGGCCAUCCCGGCUUACCAACCCGAUGCAAACUGCGAAUACCGGAGAAUGUUAUCACGGGAGACACACGGCGGGUGCUAACGUCCGUCGUGAAGAGGGAAACAACCCAGACCGCCAGCUAAGGUCCCAAAGUCAUGGUUAAGUGGGAAACGAUGUGGGAAGGCCCAGACAGCCAGGAUGUUGGCUUAGAAGCAGCCAUCAUUUAAAGAAAGCGUAAUAGCUCACUGGUCGAGUCGGCCUGCGCGGAAGAUGUAACGGGGCUAAACCAUGCACCGAAGCUGCGGCAGCGAACGUAUCACCCAAGACAACUUUACGGAGUUGACGAUUGACGGAGCGAAGCGACGUCAAAGCGUUCAUUAAAGUCGAGUUGGCUUAGGGAUACGUUCGUUGGGUAGGGGAGCGUUCUGUAAGCCUGUGAAGGUGUGUCGUGAGGCAUGCUGGAGGUAUCAGAAGUGCGAAUGCUGACAUAAGUAACGAUAAAGCGGGUGAAAAGCCCGCUCGCCGGAAGACCAAGGGUUCCUGUCCAACGUUAAUCGGGGCAGGGUGAGUCGACCCCUAAGGCGAGGCCGAAAGGCGUAGUCGAUGGGAAACGGGUUAAUAUUCCCGUACUUGGUGUUACUGCGAAGGGGGGACGGAGAAGGCUAUGUUGGCCGGGCGACGGUUGUCCCGGUUUAAGCGUGUAGGUGUGUGUUCCAGGUAAAUCCGGUUCACUUUAACACUGAGGCGUGACGACGAGGCACUACGGUGCUGAAGCAACAAAUGCCCUGCUUCCAGGAAAAGCCUCUAAGCAUCAGGUAACACGAAAUCGUACCCCAAACCGACACAGGUGGUCAGGUAGAGAAUACCAAGGCGCUUGAGAGAACUCGGGUGAAGGAACUAGGCAAAAUGGUGCCGUAACUUCGGGAGAAGGCACGCUGACACGUAGGUGAAGUGAUUUACUCAUGGAGCUGAAGUCAGUCGAAGAUACCAGCUGGCUGCAACUGUUUAUUAAAAACACAGCACUGUGCAAACACGAAAGUGGACGUAUACGGUGUGACGCCUGCCCGGUGCCGGAA